AUUGAACGCUGGCGGCAUGCUUUACACAUGCAAGUCGAACGGCAGCGCGGGCUUCGGCCUGGCGGCGAGUGGCGAACGGGUGAGUAAUGCAUCCGAACGUGCCCAGUAGUUGGGGAUAGCUCGGCGAAAGCCGGAUUAAUACCGCAUACGACCUGAGGGUGAAAGCGGGGGACCGAAAGGCCUCGCGCUAUUGGAUCGGCCGAUGUCGGAUUAGCUAGUUGGUGGGGUAAAGGCUUACCAAGGCGACGAUCCGUAGCUGGUCUGAGAGGACGACCCGCCACACUGGGACUGAGACACGGCCCAGACUCCUACGGGAGGCAGCAGUGGGGAAUUUUGGACAAUGGGGGCAACCCUGAUCCAGCCAUGCCGCGUGAGGGAAGAAGGCCUUCGGGUUGUAAACCGCUUUUGUUCGGGAAGAAAUCCUCUGGGCUAAUACCCCGGGGGGAUGACGGUACCGGAAGAAUAAGCACCGGCUAACUACGUG
rnacentral:rRNA from 1 species